CUGAAGAAAUGGCGGGGUUGAUGCUGGCUCUUCGGAGUAUGUGCUCGCCCUGUCGCUUUUUCUAAUUUCCACUGUGCACCUUUUGUAGGCUUGUGACAACUCUCAGUUGAAACAUACUGGUUUCGAGGGCUUGCAUGUAACUGUGCUUGUCCCCUCAACGUUCAUGAGCCUACGUCUUAUAACACACGCUUAAAGUUUCUGAAUGUCUUAUUGUUGGUCUCAUAUGACCGAUAAAAACCUAUACAACUUUCAGCAACGGAUCUCUUGGCUCUCGCAUCGAUGAAGAACGCAGCGAAAUGCGAUAAGUAAUGUGAAUUGCAGAAUUCAGUGAAUCAUCGAAUCUUUGAACGCAUCUUGCACCCCUUGGUAUUCCGAGGGGUAUGCCUGUUUGAGUGUCAUUAAAUUCUCAAAAUCCCAGUUGGUUUUGCCAAGUGGGCCUUUGGACUUGUGAGGGUUGCCGGUCUUCAAAGAUCGGACUCCCUUCAAAUGCAUUAGUGGUUACCGAUCCGCUUCCAGUUGGUGUGAUAGUUUAUCUACGCCUCUGGAAUG
rnacentral:sRNA from 1 species